UGUGUGUGUGUGUGUGUGUGUGCGUGCGCGCACUUUUACAUCAAAGUAGGUGAGGCCGCUUAAAUUACCUGCUCAUUAUGAGGCUGGAGAAAAAUUGCUCUUCCGUGAUGUUUAGAGAAGCGGCAAUCUAUGGAUAAUGAUGCGAGCCGACAGAAUUCUGGCUUAUGCAGUCUGUCAGUCUGCGAGCUCAUUUAUCCACCGUGGUCAUGCAAGAUCCCAUCACACCUUAUAGAGUUGCCUUUGUCAGGUGAUACAUGAACAAGAGUUCACCAAACCACUACGGGAAUUUCCAUCAGCAAAACCUCACAGAUACACUCAUCUGUGUUUCACAUUUUUAACUCUGUCUGAUCCGGUGCCUUGUUUAUUGUUCCGCGAAGGUUUUUGGAAAUGCUUGCCCAAGGCAUGCUAUAUGCUCUGAAGACAAACUUCACCUUUUCUGUUAAAAGACUCCACACACCCUCCAUUAGACAAUGCAUAAUGUUUACUGAACCUGUUGUAAUAAUUGUGAAAUCAUUACACAAUUAUUUGUGAAGUGGAUGUGGAACAACAUGUUAUAUACUUAUGAAAAUGAGAAUGACUAUGAAACAUUUUAAAGUCUUCAAGCUGAAGUUCAUGGCCUUGUCAGUUUCAAAACAUCAUAGUCCAUUUCCCUGCUUACAUAAGCUAAUUCACCAAGAAAGUUUGUGGCUACUGAGCAGACAAAUGUUCUUUGUAAAGUGAACCUGCCAGACAUACAUAAAA
ensembl:lncRNA